rnacentral:misc_RNA from 1 species
GCACGCGCAAAAAAUCGAAUCGUGCGCGCACACAAAGGCCGCCACUCUACGGCGUGGCUGCCUUUCCUUUCUCCUCGCCCCCUCCCCCUGUGUCUUCUGCGCAAGUUUCUCUCGAGGGCAGCUCACGCACUCGCUCUCCGUCCGACUGAAGUCCCUCAUCGGUCAUACGCAGACGUCCGUCAACUGCUCCAUCGUUUUCCUGCGUUUCUAGUAACUCGCAUAUCUGAUUGCGCUUUUUUUUUUCUGUGCGCUUGUGUGUGUGUGCUGUGAGGCUGCACUUGCACGAGAGAGGUGUUUGGCGGCACGACACAAACCCACGCAUCCCACUUGCGACACCACAGCGUUGCUGCCAUUAUUCCGAGCAGCAACAACAGAAUCGACGGGUCUGCCUGUUUUUUUUUUCUUUUGGAAGGCAGCGGUGCUAAUCAGCAAUAUGCCCAAAAGGCUGACCGCUCGCCAGUACACUCAGGUGCGUUGUCUGCUCAUUGCUGCACACAUCACCACCUUCGUUUUAUCUCUUGGCAUGCUCGUUGUCGCCAUGUUGAAGCGGUCCCGCUACCUGGGCUACUUCAGGAUCGUGACUGAGCCGGACAGGGACGUGAACAUCUCCAGCGGCCUCAUGGUUGCGAGCGGCGCCGUCGCGCUCGUUCAGCCAUUGCUCUUUUUCGGCAUACAUGUUGCGUACCCCCUUGUCCGUCAGCGGCAGUGGGCCGUGCAGUAUGAUCGCAUGCUACGCAGCGCGGGGGCUGGCCAACAGGAACAGCAGGCGCAGCAGCGAACUUAUGCCUUACACGCGGAAUCUCCAGGUCACCAGAGUGCUCCGAUUGAUUUCAUGCGCACGCCGGUUCUCACCGUUCACGACUCGCACUUGCACCCCCCCCUAAGCAGGAUGCACAUCGAAGCGGAGGGGGCGCCACAGGGCAAAGCGGGCGCUGUCACAGAGGCUUCUGCCGCUACCGCUACUGCUUCGGCUGCCGCGGCGGCUGCGCCCGACACCUCCUCCUCGACGCCAGGACUAGGGCCUCCACAACCGGGAUAUCCCCUGUCGCUAGAGGCGUCGUCGGGCCCGCCGCUGCCGCAAGGUGCCCGCUUUUUUCACACACCACCGCAAAACGCGCGGGUGGCGCCGAGGGACAGUUGUGUGACGGUGGCACACAGAGCAACAUCCCGCCUUUUCUCAUUUCAGUCCAUUUCGGAGACGGAGGCAGAUGCGAACAAUGCAAUGACGUCGCUCUCUCUCUCGCCAAGUGUCAAGAAAGAGGCUCAGGAACUGGGAAGCAAGACGCCUGCGGCUGCCGCGGUGCCGUCGGCGCGUCGCCUCACCAGUGGCCACCCGCCCUUCUACGUUUGCACGACCCCUUCCAGCGUUAAGGCUGGUGAAGCGGUCGCGUCUCGCGACAGAUACGAUGACGCGACGGCCGUGGUCGCCACGGCAGCAUCAAACACAGGCGACGCUGGCGUCGGUGAAGCCAUCCCUGCUGUGUCUGACUCGACUCCCCCGCCGCACUCGUACGUGACUCGCGCAAUGGUGAGGUCGCCGGGCAGCAUUGCCAUAUAUGGGUCCGAUGGCACGGCAUCGAGGCGUCCGCGUCGACGAUCGCCGGACACAGAGGCACAGCGCACAUUGGACGCGCUAGACGACGUUGAUAGCAGCACCCUCGCUGCUGUCACGGAAGCCGCACAAAAUGAUGCGGCAUUCCGACCCAAUGCCUCUCAGGCCCAGAGCGCGACCAACCCGUUCAACGCCCUGUCGACAGCGUUUGCCAGCUCUUCGGUGCCGUCGCUGACGCCGCCGCUUCUGUUGAUGCGUCCUAGCGACGCUCGUGACACCACCAGUACCCAGCAGGCCUGCACAGACGCCUCCUCCGUCGCGUCGUCGAGGCGCUCAGCUGUGGCGGCCCCUACGCUGACGUCCACGGCGGCGGUGCCGCGUGCCGCUUCGGCCCGAGAGAGAGAAGUCGGGGUACUGUCCAGUGAGGAGGUGCAGCCGCCAAAGGCGUCUAGCAAGGAAGCGUCGCAGCACGGCCAGCGUCACCUCAGCUGCUCAGGCGACUUUUCACAGCGCAGCGCUGCAUCGGCGUUUUUGCGAUCACUGGCGUGGCUCAUACCCACCCGCUUCACGGCGGAGGCGUCGCCAUCGCAAAGUCAUCCGGCGAGGCGGCCGUCCACCUCACUCCUAAGCGCCUCCGUUCGGCCUUUGCCGCCCGCGCUUCUUCACAUGUACUUCAAGUCGGAAACGAUGUUCCGCUCGCUGCUCAGCGCCUGCUACAUCUUCGCGGGCGCCGGAAUCCUUUUCAUGUACUUCUUUGGCAUGCUCUGGUUGGUACGUAGAGAGCUGCAAGGGCUGGACAGUCUCGUGUCAAUGGCAGAAGGGUGGAGUAACGUCUUCAUUUAUCAAAACGUGACUUCUGCUGUCGACGCUGCCUUGUGCAGCGUGGAGUUGGACCGUAGAUGCAGCGGUGGGAUGAGUCUCUGCAAUGCGACGGCGUAUGCCAGCGCCGAGGCGGCACACAACCUCAGCUGCCCCUUCUGCGAGGCAUCGCAGCAAAGGUUGAUCAGCACAUUCACGCAGCUGUGCUCGAUAGCGUACGAUCCUAGCGUGCGGUUCACGAGGGCUUUCCUCAUCCUUCUCACGCUCUCCGUUAUUGCCAGUCUGGUAUCUCUGCGUUGCGGUUUUCAGCUGCGGCACAGGUGUUCUGGCGAGUGUCGGCUACGCGUCUCUUUCGAAACGGGAGGAGGCGCAGGCGAUGCUGGAAACAGGCGGCUUCUUCUCUACCGAGAACGCACAAGGAGUGCACGCCUCGUACCCACCGACGCGCGCCUCAUCACCGCUGUUCCACGCGGCUGCUGCUGAUGAAAUAUCGUCAUCAACAACGCCAAUGGCCGUGGCGCCCUCUCGCGAGCGACUUAUGCACACAUUCGAAGGUCUGCAUGCUCCGUCGGCUGCACUGCUGCCACCGUCGUCGGUUGUCAUGGCGGAGAUGUCCAGCAGCGGCGGUCUGGUGGUGCCGCCGAUGAGCAUGAAGGGAAAAGCGUCGUUGCCUCGCAUGAAUGCGGUGUGAAAGGUGUCGGCGCACUCCAUGGUGAACGGCGCAGACGACGCGAGCAGCCGGACGCAGACCCUCAACAGCAACCUAGUGGCAUCUACGAAAUAGAAGGCGGAGACGAGGGGAGAAAGGGGACAGUGCGGAUGCGCCCCCUGCAUGUACUAUGCUCACCCUUUGCAGCUGCCGCACCCUUCAAGGCCUAUGCGCUCUGUGCUGGGGUGGUUAGCCCCUCCCUCUCUAGUUGCUCUCCUGCACUCUAUUGUACUCUACCUCACUGACCACCACCUUCACCCGCUGUACCGUUUCGCUCCUCCGCUUGCCCCCUGCAGCUCUUCGCAUGCUCCUUCUUUGGAGCCUUCGAGCUUGUGCUUCCCAGCGGAUGCGCGUCUUGUUCUCUGCCUCGUGUGCUAUCUUGUGGUCAUUCUCUGCGCGCCUCCUCGUCGUCUUCCUCCCCUUUCUCCUCUAUGUCUUUGACCUUUUAUUAAUAUUAUUAUUAUUAUUUUUUUUUCCCACCGUGCUUGCGCGUGCUGCCGCCACCAUGGAACUUCUUCUUUCUGCAGUUCAUGUCUUCUCCCUCUCCCUUUUUGGCGUGUGGGGGUGAGUUGGUGCGCAUGGCUGUUGUGGCUUGUUUCGGGAUCUCUUGGUGUCUCCUUGAAGUUGGACACGCUGUAGCUAUUUAUUCAUUUUUUAUCCCGCGCGUGCGCGCGCGCUCUCUUUUCCGCCCGUUCUGCUCAGCGGUGGGAGCGUUUGCGUGGGUGUCCUUCGUGUGUGUCUGCUCAGGCUUCUGCACACUUACCGGCGCACCGAUCAGCUUUAGAGGUGACCAACUUCACGCCGGCGUCCCCGUCGCGCCUCUGCCGCACCCAGCUCCCUCCCUCCUCCCCAUCUAGCUUGGCCCAAAAGCACAAGCAAGGCAAGGCAAGGCACCCGCGGCAUGUGCUGCUGCUCUCCUCGGUACUUUCUCUGUUUCUUUUCUCUCUAGCUCGCUUCACGACGCACUAACAGCUGUGCGCACGCGACCGACGUGAAUAGGUAGCGCACAUACAUGUGCCCGUGUACAUGAGAGUGUCUCCGAGCACAUGCACUCCCACUAAGCGAGUGGAUCGUGUGUGUGCGUGGAAGGGGGGGGAGGUGCGGCAGCUCAUUUAUCUUCCCACCCGUUCACAGUUGACUCUCUCUUGCUGCCCACCACUUCCACCUCACCACCCCCCUUCUCUGCACCUCUUGAAAAAACGGACGCAGCUCUCCCCUUCUUGAUCCUUGUUGCUGUUCUUGGGAGGGUGGAGGAGGACGACGAAAAACAAAGAAAACG